rnacentral:rRNA from 1 species
CCUACGGGUGGCUGCAGUGGGGAAUAUUGGACAAUGGGCGAAAGCCUGAUCCAGCCAUGCCGCGUGUGUGAAGAAGGCCUUCGGGUUGUAAAGCACUUUCAGUGGGGAAGAAAGCCUUGGGGCUAAUACCCUCGAGGAAGGACAUCACCCACAGAAGAAGCACCGGCUAACUCCGUGCCAGCAGCCGCGGUAAUACGGAGGGUGCGAGCGUUAAUCGGAAUUACUGGGCGUAAAGCGCGCGUAGGCGGUCUGAUAAGCCGGUUGUGAAAGCCCCGGGCUCAACCUGGGAACGGCAUCCGGAACUGUCAGGCUAGAGUGCAGGAGAGGAAAGUAGAAUUCCCGGUGUAGCGGUGAAAUGCGUAGAGAUCGGGAGGAAUACCAGUGGCGAAGGCGGCCUUCUGGACUGACACUGACGCUGAGGUGCGAAAGCGUGGGUAGCAAACAGGAUUAGAUACCCUAGUAGUC